CGAAUCCGCGCGGGAGAGUCCCCGGCCCGAGGGCUGUGACCGGGGCGCCGAAGGAGCAAGCACUCCCUUGAAUCUCUCAGGCCCAGUUACCGCGCGGGCGAG
rnacentral:ncRNA from 2 species